rnacentral:rRNA from 1 species
GAUGAACGCUGGCGGCGUGCCUAAUACAUGCAAGUCGAGCGAACGGACGAGAAGCUUGCUUCUCUGAUGUUAGCGGCGGACGGGUGGGUAACACGUGGAUAACCUACCUAUAAGACUGGGAUAACUUCGGGAAACCGGAGCUAAUACCGGAUAAUAUUUUGAACCGCAUGGUUCAAAAGUGAAAGACGGUCUUGCCGUCACUUAUAGAUGGAUCCGCGCUGCAUUAGCUAGUUGGUAAGGUAACGGCUUACCAAGGCAACGAUGCAUAGCCGACCUGAGAGGGUGAUCGGCCACACUGGAACUGAGACACGGUCCAGACUCCUACGGGAGGCAGCAGUAGGGAAUCUUCCGCAAUGGGCGAAAGCCUGACGGAGCAACGCCGCGUGAGUGAUGAAGGUCUUCGGAUCGUAAAACUCUGUUAUUAGGGAAGAACAUAUGUGUAAGUAACUGUGCACAUCUUGACGGUACCUAAUCAGAAAGCCACGGCUAACUACGUG